rnacentral:rRNA from 1 species
GAUGAACGCUGGCGGCGUGCCUAAUACAUGCAAGUCGAGCGAACAGACGAGGAGCUUGCUCCUCUGACGUUAGCGGCGGACGGGUGAGUAACACGUGGAUAACCUACCUAUAAGACUGGGAUAACUUCGGGAAACCGGAGCUAAUACCGGAUAAUAUAUUGAACCGCAUGGUUCAAUAGUGAAAGACGGUUUUGCUGUCACUUAUAGAUGGAUCCGCGCCGCAUUAGUUAGUUGGUAAGGUAACGGCUUACCAAGGCAACGAUGCGUAGCCGACCUGAGAGGGUGAUCGGCCACACUGGAACUGAGAAACGGUCCAGACUCCUACGGAAAGCAGCAGUAGAGAAUCUUCCGCAAGGGGCGAAAGCGUGACGGAGCAACGCCGCGUGAGUGAUGAAGGUCUUCUGAUCGUAAAACUCUGUUAUUAGGGAAGAACAAAUGUGUAAGUAACUAUGCACGUCUUGACAGUACCUAAUCAGAAAGCCACGGCUAACUACGUG